CCCUUUUGCUCUUUCGAACCACAGCGAGUGCGUACUUCACACACAGCCCUGAGUUUCUUAUUCCAUUUUUGACAGCUAACCACCAGGUAGCCUGAGGAGCACAUUUGGGACCGUAAUUUCACCUGCCGAAAGAAACAUUGGUUCGAUUUCUUAAUCAUCUCCCAAAAUCAACACGCUCCCGCACGCACUUAAACGCACACACACACCCACACGUACAGAGAUUCAUCCCGAAUGCGGAAGGAUACAGCGAGGUGUUGGUGUGCAAAUUAUUAUCACCUCCUAAUGAACGCCACAAACACGGCAAAACAAGCUGAUUUUAUCACAUGCACGAAAGGUGCGCAUCGGCGCUUAGAAGGCCAUCGAAUUUGCCCGGCUAGUGUGGAUCAUAUUGUUACGCAAACGAACAUACGAUUCGCGGACCGCAGUGGGGCGAGUUACACACACCCGCGACGAGUGACUGUACUAGAAAAACUGACGAAAAGAGAAAAAAGACCACAGGCAUCAACCACAACAAGCAGCCCACUAUGGGAAAGCGGUGGUCAUAGGAUUGUAGCCGUGCUGUGAAAUUUUACACAAUUAUUUUCUUUUUAUUUUAGAUAUCAAACUACGACUUUUUUUUUAGAUCCGAUGUUAAGUGGCUUUUAAAAAUAUCUGUUUUAUUUUUUUUUAAUCAUUCUAAAUCUUCUUCAUGUUUGAUCAUGUCCAUUAUUUGAAGGUGUACUAAAAGGUAUGGAUGGGAUCCGAUACCCAGCCCUGCGAAAGAUCGAAGCCUUUAACAAUCAUCAUUUUUGUAGUUGAAUUUUUAUCUUGCGCUUGUUGAAUCAUAAUCUUAAAGGAAAAUCCCUAAAAUUAAGUGUUUUACUAACCAUGCACAGCCGCUUCUAUUGAUUCUAUUGUUAACAGUUUAAACUGAACCUGGACUUUCCUACCCAAACGUAUCCUAAUAAUGUGUGGGAAUAUAUACUGCCGCUU